GUAAUGGUGUCUUUAGACACCACCCUUUAUCUUCAAAAUUAUUUUGU
rfam:Picea glauca, whole genome shotgun sequence.